ACCGCCGGCCUGUUUCUAAGUCGAAGCCCCUCUCCACAGGCCACACAGCUCAUCUCCCCCUCCACCGCCGCCGGCGCCGCCCAGCUCCCCGUCCCCCGGCCGCGCCCACGAGCAAGCGUGGGCGCCGCUCCGCGAACCGGAGCCCCGUUAGAGCCAACCACCGGCCGCCGCUGACCACUGAGCGCCCCAGCUCCGUCUCCGCCGGCGGCGAUGACCUCCGCGCACUCCAAGCUCUACUCCGAUGACGUCAGCCUCGUGGUGGUGGUCGUCGACACCAACCCCUUCUUCUGGGCCGGCGCCGCGCUCCCCUUCGCCGACUUCUUGUCCCACCUGAUCCACUUCGUGAACUCGCUCCUGCUGCUGAGCAACCUCAACCACGUGGUCAUCAUCGCCGCGGGUGUCAGCUCCUGCGCCUACGUCUUCGACUCGGGCAAUGCUUAUGCCGGAGGCACGGCAGAUGUUGCUGAAACCUUGGGCAAGGCGAGCCGCAAGAUGGAGGAGUUCAUUAAGCAGGAUGCUCGUGAGACUGCCAGCAAUGGCACCGUUGCUGAUGGCGGUGCCGCGUCGCUGUUUUCUGGCGCGCUGUCCCUUGCUCUGUGCUAUAUACAGAGGAUUUUUCGGUCUGGUACUCGGCAUCCACAGCCUCGGAUUUUGUGCCUGCAAGGUUCUCCAGAUGGACCUGAACAAUAUGUGGCAGUGAUGAAUUCAAUAUUUUCGGCACAGCGUUCCAUGGUUCCAAUUGAUACAUGUAUCGUGGGGACACAAGACUCUGCUUUCUUGCAGCAGAUAUUGUUGUCGCAUUUCACAGGCUUCAUAUAUAACAGGGGGAGUUUAUAUGAAGCCCCAAGAACUAAGUGGUCUAUUUCAAUACCUUGCUGCUGUAUUUGCAACGGACUUGCACUCGAGAACUUUUCUGCGCCUCCCUAAGACCCUGGGAGUGGAUUUCCGUGCCUCAUGUUUCUGCCACAAGAAGACUAUUGACAUGGGAUAUGUUUGUUCAGUUUGCUUAUCAAUAUUCUGCAAGUACCAUAAGAAAUGUUCGACCUGUGGGUCAGAAUUCAGCCGUGUCAGCAUGCCGGAUUUGAAUUCCUUGCCAGAUCAAAGGCAGUAGUAGUCUGUAGACAGGGAACUGCCAGACUGCAUACUGGGCCUUUCAGAAUUGAACUUCCUUUGAUGGCUUACAAUAUCUAAUCUCGUACCAUCAUCGUUUUUCUACAAGCUGAAUCGCUGCAAGGAGGGGAUCGCGUGUGUAUAUUCGAAGGGCUGUCAAUGUAUUAACUAGGGAAACUGGAGUGCAAUUUUGUGGACAUUAUCCCGAUUGAGAAAUGCACAUUAGUUUUGGUACUACUUCAUUCUUCUUUGGGAGCUUUGCCCUGAAUGUACCACUUGAAACCUUGCUAAGCUGAUGCAAAACAAUGAUGGAAAUUAGAUCAACUUCUUAAAUUUCA